AGAGUUUGAUCCUGGCUCAGAACGUACGCUGGCGGCACGCCUAACACAUGCAAGUCGAACGAAGUAGCAAUACUUAGUGGCAGACGGGUGAGGAACAUGUGGGUAUCUGCCCUUUGGCCUGGAAUAACACGAGGAAACUUGUGCUAAUACCAGAUAAGUCUUUACGGAGAAAGCUUUAUGCACCAUUGGAUGAGCCCGCACUUGAUUAGUUUGUUGGUGGGGUAAUGGCCUACCAAGACUUUGAUCAAUAGCUGAUUUGAGAGGAUGAUCAGCCACAUUGGGACUGAGACACGGCCCAAACUCCUACGGGAGGCAGCAGUGGGGAAUCUUGCACAAUGGAGGAAACUCUGAUGCAGCGAUGCCGCGUGAGUGAAGAAGGCCUUUGGGUUGUAAAGCUCUUUCGUCGGGGAAGAAAAUGACUGUACCCGAAUAAGAAGGUCCGGCUAACUUCGUGCCAGCAGCCGCGGUAAUACGAAGGGACCUAGCGUAGUUCGGAAUUACUGGGCUUAAAGAGUUCGUAGGUGGUUGAAAAAGUUGGUGGUGAAAUCCCAGAGCUUAACUCUGGAACUGCCAUCAAAACUUUUCAGCUAGAGUUUGAUAGAGGAAAGCAGAAUUUCUAGUGUAGAGGUGAAAUUCGUAGAUAUUAGAAAGAAUACCAAUUGCGAAGGCAGCUUUCUGGAUCAUUACUGACGCUGAGGAACGAAAGCAUGGGUAGCGAAGAGGAUUAGAUACCCUCGUAGUCCAUGCCGUAAACGAUGUGUGUUAGACGUUGGAAAUUUAUUUUCAGUGUCGCAGCGAAAGCGAUAAACACACCGCCUGGGGAGUACGACCGCAAGGUUAAAACUCAAAUGAAUUGACGGGGACCCGCACAAGUAGUGGAGCAUGUGGUUUAAUUCGAAGAUACGCGCAGAACCUUACCAACACUUGACAUGUUCGUCGCGACUUUAAGAGAUUAAAGUUUUCGGUUCGGCCGGACGAAACACAGGUGCUGCAUGGCUGUCGUCAGCUCGUGUCGUGAGAUGUUGGGUUAAGUCCCGCAACGAGCGCAACCCUCACUUUUAGUUGCCAUCAUUUAGUUGGGCACUCUGAAAGAACUGCCAGUGAUAAGCUGGAGGAAGGUGGGGAUGACGUCAAGUCCUCAUGGCCCUUAUGGGUAGGGCUUCACACGUCAUACAAUGGUUGGUACAGAGGGUUGCAAACCCGCGAGGGGAAGCUAAUCUCAAAAAACCAAUCGUAGUCCGGAUUGCAGUCUGCAACUCGACUGCAUGAAGUCGGAAUCGCUGGUAAUCGCGGAUCAGAAUGUCGCGGUGAAUACGUUCCCGGGUCUUGUACACACCGCCCGUCACACCAUGGGAGUUGGUUCUACCUUAAGGCAAGGCAUUAAACCCUUGACCACGGUAUAGUCAGCGACUGGGGUGAAGUCGUAACAAGGUACCG
rnacentral:rRNA from 1 species